AGCAGCAGCCACGGUAAUACGAAGGGGGCUAGCGUUGUUCGGAAUUACUGGGCGUAAAGCGCACGCAGGCGGCUUGGUAAGUUAGAGGUGAGAGCCCGGAGCUCAACUCCGGAAUUGCCUUUAAGACUGCCGAGCUAGUAGGUGAGAGAGGUAAGUGGAAUUCCGAGUGUAGAGGUGAAAUUCGUAGAUAUUCGGAAGAACACCAGUGGCGAAGGCGGCUCACUGGCUCAUUCUAGACGCUGAGGUGCGAAAGCGUGGGGAGCAAACAGGAUUAGAUACCCGUGUAGUCCCUGUCUCUUAUAC
rnacentral:rRNA from 1 species